rnacentral:rRNA from 1 species
UACGGAGGGGGCUAGCGUUGUUCGGAAUUACUGGGCGUAAAGCGCACGUAGGCGGCUUUGUAAGUUAGAGGUGAAAGCCCGGAGCUCAACUCCGGAACUGCCUUUAAGACUGCAUCGCUAGAAUCAUGGAGAGGUCAGUGGAAUUCCGAGUGUAGAGGUGAAAUUCGUAGAUAUUCGGAAGAACACCAGUGGCGAAGGCGACUUACUGGACACAUAUUGACGCUGAGGUGCGAAAGCGUGGGGAGCAAACAGG